UUGUUUUUUUAAAUAACGAAUGUUUUUNUUUUUUUUAAAUCUAUUUUCGUAUCUACUCUCGUUGCAUCAACUUUUGCCUUGCCAUUUUCUUUUUAGAUAACUUCUUUUUGGGUGCAUCUUCUUCAGCUGAGGGCUUUGCAACUACCUGCUCUUUCUC